ACUAUUGUCACGGGUUACCGCGGCUGCUGGCACGGAGUUAGCCGGUGCUUCUUCUGUGAGUGAUGUCCUUCCUGCCGGCUAUUAACCCGCAGGCCUUCUUCCUCACUGAAAGUGCUUUACAACCCGAAGGCCUUCUUCACACACGCGGCAUGGCUGGAUCAGGGUUGCCCCCAUUGUCCAAUAUUCCCCACUGCUGCCUCCCGUAGGAGUCUGGGCCGUGUCUCAGUCCCAGUGUGGCUGAUCAUCCUCUCAGACCAGCUACGGAUCGUCGCCUUGGUGAGCCGUUACCUCACCAACCAGCUAAUCCGACAUAGGCUCAUCCGAUAGCGCGAGGGACC
rnacentral:rRNA from 1 species